rfam:Loxodonta africana unplaced genomic scaffold scaffold_88, whole genome shotgun sequence.
GCAGUCGUGGUUCAGUGGUAGAAUUCUCGCCUACCAUGCAGGAGACCCAGGUUCCAUUCCCGGCCAGUGCA